rnacentral:rRNA from 1 species
UACGAAGGGGGCUAGCGUUGCUCGGAAUCACUGGGCGUAAAGGGUGCGUAGGCGGGUCUUUAAGUCAGGGGUGAAAUCCUGGAGCUCAACUCCAGAACUGCCUUUGAUACUGAGGAUCUUGAGUCCGGGAGAGGUGAGUGGAACUGCGAGUGUAGAGGUGAAAUUCGUAGAUAUUCGCAAGAACACCAGUGGCGAAGGCGGCUCACUGGCCCGGUACUGACGCUGAGGCACGAAAGCGCGGGGAGCGAACGGG